GGAUAGCUCAGUCAUCAGAGCUUGAGACUCUUAAUCCCAAGGUCGUGGGUUCAAGCCCCACGUUGGGCA